UGUCUAUAGAGGAGAAGGGGUCUGUUGGGGAGGGAUUUGGUUUGCGCCGGGCUGGGGUUUGCUGCGGCUUGCUGCAGCGUGGCCGGUGGGUGCGAGAGUGCGCGACUUGUCUGUCCGGGUGGUCUCCGUCGCUGCUGGCUGCGGUUCACUUAUCCGCCGCUGCUGUGUGGUGAUGUUGUGGCAUUCAUUGGGAUGUUUCAAUUUGGCCAUUGUUGUUGGUCAGAGGAAGGAGCGGUGGUCUUCAUCUGGCCCAACCUGGUGUGCGCGGCGUGGCGGCUCUGUACAAAGGGAGAGACGAUUUGGGGACGGCGUGGCGCUUCUUCGGCUUCGCUCGGUGGCUAUCUUCCAUGUGUCCUGAUGGAUCCGCUCAUAACAAUUCUGUUGAAACUAUCCAUGAGCGAAUGUUUAUGCCAUCAAUGUUGACCAUUAUAUCAGAGAAUUUAAAGUAGGUAAUAUCCUAUCAUGUUUAAAUAAAUUCUCAUCUUAUUUAUUUCAAGGACUUGAGUGUUGUUACAGAAUACAUAUUAGCGGAUCUCGGUUUCUUAGGGUGAUGCCUCCUGCACCAACUGACACACUGUUGACAGCAUAAAAAAAGAUGCUUGAACUAAAACUAAAUUCAAUAGUUGUUGCAAUUCAAGAGGAGCAUGGGGAAAUAUGAUGUGACAUGUGAGUACCUUCUCUCUAUGUAAUUACAUUACUGCUAAUUUCUACCAGCAUUCUCUCACUAUUUUUCAUAUAGUUGCACCCAAUGGCACAAGUACCUAAUACAAACCAAGGGCUUCCCUUAAUGGCUAUAAGUUUUAGAUCACCGAGAAACAAAUUCUACAGUAUGAUUAAGUAAUAAAAUAUUAAAGAAACAGCUGAUGGUUUGUUUGAAAUGGAGAGGACAAUGAACACACAUGCUGAAGCUUUAAGUUGACUUUACAGAAUGUGCACACAAUCAACCAACCGGUUGAUAUCUGCUAGCAUCCCCUUGCUGGAGCCUCAUUUGAAGGGAACACCUGCUGAACAAAAUAAUUGGUCGCUGACACUGACAAUCUUCCCUAUGCGCUUUGUUGAUAAAGAUUCUUUGCAGAAUAAUUUUUUUCCUGGAGUGCACCUAGAAAACACGAUAAAAAUUGGGGAGAUGAAAGGUCAGAAUCAUUUCUAUUGGUGUCUGACUGAUCUCACUGCUAAAGAAGCAUAAAUAGCAAUCAAUGUCUAGUGAAAGCCAGAAGAUGAAUUCCUUUCGGUAAACAGGCAUCCACUACAUGUUUGGUAAUGACGUGAUGUUGAGAUGGCUAGGAGAAGCUCAACAGCCAGAUCAAGGGCUAUCGAGAUGGAUCUGGAAGUCAAGCAGUAGUUCUUCUGUUAAAUUUUGGUUAUUAUCUUUUCUAUUGUUACGAUUGUGGGAUGGUUGAUUUUGAUUCGGUGUAACAUUUGCAUUUGUUUCCCCAGCUUGUUGGCAUAGAUGCGUGGCACUGCGGCAACUAAUCAAGAGCGAGGGCAGUGCACAUCAGAGCUACGCUGAAUGUAGCGAGCCAACCACGAAUUGGGAUGAAAGUAGCGCCAGCAGAAUCAGUAGGUUGGAUGGGAAGGCGGUUGUUGCCCUUGUCCCUUGGUGCUAGCCUACCGUGGUGGCCUCACUAACUUGCUCAUUGCGAAUACGAGUUCGUGGGGUCGCGAGUUGCUGCAGAUUUGUUUUUAUCACUUUUUACAAUAUUUAUUGAUGUAUCCCUAACUCAUCGAGUCAUUUUUAGCUUUGAUUUCCCAUAUACGCCAGCCUAAAUAUCCGUCAGAAUAUUUGCAUGGUUAGUGGACAUUGUCCCUUUCUUUCUAAUGUUUAAUAUUUUAUAUUGCCGAUAGAAAUAAUUUUAUCCGCUUGAUUUAGGAAGUGCACAUAGGUAGGUCAACAUAUUUUGUAGCUCUUUCGAAUGUAAAAGCAUAUGUUGCAUAAGAAAUUAUUAUCUUCCAAGCAUACUCACAUUUCACUAACAAAUAGGGGGAGGUUCAGACUUCAGAGCAAUGAUAAAAA